AAGAGUAUUUGAGCUCAGGGUUUAUUGUGGCGGGAAGAUUUACAUGUGUGGUUUAUAGUGAAGGAAAGAAUUUUUUAGAUAAGGAUAGAUAUAAAGUGGUUGCAGUAAAUAGUUUUAAUAAUUCAGGAAACUGAGAAUUGGCUAAGUCGGUAAUAUGGACAAAGCUUGUGCCAGCAGUAGCGGUUAUACUUGCCAUAUAAUAAUAAAUUUUUGGUUUUAAAAUAAAUUUUAUUUAGAGUUAAGAAGAAAUUUUUUAAGGUGAAAUUUUAAGUUUUAGUUGGGCUUAGGGUUAAAUUUGAAUUUUAAAAAAUUUUUAAUUAAACUAGGAUUAGAUACCCUAUUAUUAGAAAUGUAAAUUAUGGGCCUAGUUAGUAUCAGAGAUGUUCUUGAAAGUUAACAAAGUUGGCGGUUUUUUAGUCCAUUCAGAGGAGCCUGUCCUGUAAUUGAUAGUCCACGAUUAGAGUUAACUUGUUUUAGUGAUUCACAUAUCGCUGUGGAUUGAAUAUUUUAGUAGAAAUUUAAUGUUCAGUAUGUUUAGGGAAAAGAUUUCAAGUCAAGGUGUGGUUUAUAGAUAAGGAGAGGUGGGCUACAAUGAAUUUAUUUAGAUGGAAAGGAGAAGUUUAAUAUUUUUUUGAAAGUGGAUUUGAGUGUAAUUUUAUAGAUAUUUUUAAUAUGAUUUGGCUCUAAAAUAUGCACAUAUCGCCCGUCGCUUUCACUUUAAGGUGAAAUAAGUCGUAACAAAGUAGAUGUACUGGAAAGUGUCUCUAGAAAGUC
rnacentral:ncRNA from 1 species